rnacentral:rRNA from 1 species
GUCCCCGCGAGUGUUCGGGCGUCAAACCCCCGGCGCGGAAUGAAAGUGAACGGAGGUGGGACCCCCGCGAGGGGCGCACCAUCGACCGAUCCUGAUGUCUUCGGAUGGAUUUGAGUACGAGCGCGGCCGUUGGGACCCGAAAGAUGGUGAACUAUGCCUGGGUAGGGUGAAGCCAGAGGAAACUCUGGUGGAGGCUCGCAGCGGUUCUGACGUGCAAAUCGAUCGUCAAACCUGGGCAUAGGGGCGAAAGACUAAUCGAACCAUCUAGUAGCUGGUUCCUGUCGAAGUUUCCCUCAGGAUAGCAGUCGCGCGGGCGGUUUUAUGAGGUAAAGCGAAUGAUUAGAGGCCUUGGGGGUGCAACACCCUUAACCUAUUCUCAAACUUUAAAUAUGUAAGAAGCCCCUGUUGCUUCGGUGAACGGGGGCGUGCGAACGCGGCGCGGCUAGUGGGCCAUUUUUGGUAAGCAGAACUGGCGAUGCGGGAUGAACCGAACGCGGGGUUAAGGUGCCGGAAUGCACGCUCAUCAGACACCACAAAAGAUGUCAAUUCAUCCGGACAGCCGGACGGUGGCCAUGGAAGCCGGAACCCGCCAAGGAGUGCGUAACAGCUCA